rnacentral:rRNA from 1 species
GAUGAACGCUGGCGGCGUGCCUAAUACAUGCAAGUCGAGCGUAUGGAUUAAGAGCUUGCUCUUAUGAAGUUAGCGGCGGACGGGUGAGUAACACGUGGGUAACCUGCCCAUAAGACUGGGAUAACUCCGGGAAACCGGGGCUAAUACCGGAUAACAUUUUGAACCGCAUGGUUCGAAAUUGAAAGGCGGCUUCGGCUGUCACUUAUGGAUGGACCCGCGUCGCAUUAGCUAGUUGGUGAGGUAACGGCUCACCAAGGCAACGAUGCGUAGCCGACCUUAGAGGGUGAUCGGCCACACUGGGACUGAGACACGGCCCAGACUCCUACGGGAGGCAGCAGUAGGGAAUCUUCCGCAAGGGACGAAAGUCUGACGGAGCAACGCCGCGUGAGUGAUGAAGGCUUUCGGGUCGUAAAACUCUGUUGUUAGGGAAGAACAAGUGCUAGUUGAAUAAGCUGACACCUUGACGGUACCUAACCAGAAAGCCACGGCUAACUACGUGCCAGCCGCCGCCGUAA